rnacentral:rRNA from 1 species
CACCGCGGUUAUACGAGAGGCCCAAGUUGACAAACCACGGCGUAAAGAGUGGUUAAGGAAACUUAAAACUAAAGUCGAACGCUCCCUAGAGCUGUUAUACGUGUACGAGAGUACGAAGCUCAACCACGAAAGUGACUUUAUAACCCCUGACUCCACGAAAGCUGAGAAA